rnacentral:rRNA from 1 species
AUUGAACGCUGGCGGCAGGCUUAACACAUGCAAGUCGAGCGAGCGGCGGACGGGCGAGUAAGGUCUGGGAAACUGCCUGAUGGAGGGGGAAAACUACUGGAAACGGUAGCUAAUACCGCAUACUAUCAGAUGUGCCCAGAGGGGAUUAGCUAGGGGGUGGGGUAAUGGCUCACCUAGGCGACGAUCCCUAGCUGGUCUGAGAGGAUGACCAGCCACACUGGAACUGGGACACGGUCCAGACUCCUACGGGAGGCAGCAGAGGGGAAUAUUGCACAAUGGGGGCAAGCCUGAUGCAGCCAGGCCGCGUGUGUGAAGAAGGCCUUCGGGUUGUAAAGCACUUUCAGCGGGGAGGCGUUACUCGCAGAAGAAGCACCGGCUAACUCCGUGCCAGCCGCCGCGGUAAUAC